GACGAACGCUGGCGGCGUGCUUAACACAUGCAAGUCGAACGGAAAGGCCCUGCUUUUGUGGGGUGCUCGAGUGGCGAACGGGUGAGUAACACGUGAGUAACCUGCCCUUGACUUUGGGAUAACUUCAGGAAACUGGGGCUAAUACCGGAUAGGAGCUCCUGCUGCAUGGUGGGGGUUGGAAAGUUUCGGCGGUUGGGGAUGGACUCGCGGCUUAUCAGCUUGUUGGUGGGGUAGUGGCUUACCAAGGCUUUGGCGGGUAGCCGGCCUGAGAGGGUGACCGGCCACAUUGGGACUGAGAUACGGCCCAGACUCCUACGGGAGGCAGCAGUGGGGAAUAUUGCACAAUGGGCGGAAGCCUGAUGCAGCAACGCCGCGUGCGGGAUGACGGCCUUCGGGUUGUAAACCGCUUUCGCCUGUGACGAAGCGUGAGUGACGGUAAUGGGUGAAGAAGCACCGGCUAACUACGUG
rnacentral:rRNA from 1 species